rnacentral:ncRNA from 1 species
UUCUGGGAGGAUUGACAGAUUGAGAGCUUUUUCUUGAUUCAGUGGAUGGUGGUGCGUGGCCUUUCUUAGUUGGUGGAGCGAUUUGUCUGGUUAACUCCGAUAACGAACGAGACUAGCCUAUUAAAUAGCCCCCCCCCCCCCCCCCGAGAAGGCUUCCAAAAACGCGCAAACAACCGUCUUCUAGCCUCUCCCUUCCCCCUCCCCCCCAAAAGAAAAAGUAGAAAAGAAAGAAAAAUCCAAAAGCUCUAGCCACUGACAAAAUUGACAAAGAUAGGCGAUUCAGAAGGGGAGAAAGCUAAAAAAAACACUACACCCAAGCACAGAAAAAAAAAAAAAAAAACUUUAGCCCAAAGCGAUUGCCUAUGAAGAGAAGUGAUUCAGAAGGGAAGAUAAGCUAAAAAAACAAACUCUGCAUGCAUGCAAAAAAAAAAAAAAAAAUUUUUUUUUUUUUUUAGUGCUUUGUUACAAGGUAGAGGCGAAGAGAUGAGAAAGAAAGAGGAGCUCUCGCCUU